UAGAGUUUUACUCGGGGUAAAUUAAAAGACUCCUGGUUUUGUUGGAUUUUAAUCUUCAUACGGUUCUUGCCUAAUUUAAACGAACUUUUUUUAUUUUAUUUUUUUACAAAUUGUUGUUUCUAUAUUUCUUAUGAAUUACUUUCUAAAAUUGCUUCAGGUUGGAACUGUUAUUGGGCUUCUGGCCUUGACAGGACUGGUAGUCUUUAUGCUUUUCUUUCUGGCAGCAGCUGUCAAUGCCAUUAUAAUUUCUCUUCUCGUGUCUUCAGCUGUGGCAGGGGGCUUCUUGGCUCUUUUCUUUGCCUGUGUGAUGGCAAUUUACAUUGGGGCAUUAUCAGUUUGGGCUCGCACUUGGCUCUAUCUAGAUAGAUCAGCCAACAGACUUCAGCUUGGUUGGAUUGGAUUCUUUUAGACUAUGUGGUUGGCAACAAAGAAAAGCGUGGGGCUCGCGAAGCAUUCGUUGACUGUGACUGGAUCAGCGCUUUCUGCUUACUCUUCUGCCCAGCAUGCUCGCAGCUGUCAUGAGGCAUGAUAAAGUUUCAGAUUGAUUGAAUUGCUGCUGUAGAAACUAGUCCGUGUAGAAAUUUAAUGAAAAAAAAAAAAGGCAGUUUGUAGUCUUGUGUAGAAGUGUUUGAACUACAUAUAUUUUUUUGUUUUGAUAAACAAUGCAGGUCUCUGAAAAUGAUAGAGAAGCUAUCAGUACUACAUACUUGGCAAGGCAUCCAAUGCAUUCUGGGUAACUUUUUUGGCCACUUGUUUUUGAAGUUAUAGUGCAUAAUGUGAUGAAUUUAUAGCAAUCUUUUGUAUUUUUUUUUUCUUUUUCUUUCUGAGAUUAACUUUUUUCCUUAUAAUUUAGUCUCUCAACAGUUGACAAAAAUUGGGUUAUUCAGGUUAUCUUUAGCAGGAAGAAAAUGAACUGCUUGGAGUUGAUGGCAAGUAUGACAGUAUGUCAAGUUUCCAGAAAAAACCAAAGGAAGUGAAUGUCAGGUUGAUUAAUUUUUUCUAAUUAAUGGCAAGUAUGCAGUGUUUUUUAUUAAUUUUCCUUGGAGUUGAUGGCAAGUAUGCAGUGUUUUUUAUUAAUUUUUUCUGUAGAAUGUCAGGUUGAUUUUUUCCUUUGGUUUAUGCUCUCAAAUGUUUCUAGUUCAGACAAAGCACUGCAGUUUCGAUGUCGAUGUAAUUGAAUAAAAAACCAGAGAGAAGCAAGUGUAGUUUCAUUUAUUUCCUCACCCAUUUCAUUCAUGAGAGAUUAAAUUUACUAUUGUUGCUGACUCAUUAAUUUCUGUUCUUGCUGUUCUAAGAACUUCUAUUUUAGCUAAUAAAAUGGUUUUUAAUCUUUUGUCUUUUUAAUCAACGAGUCCUGUGUGCUUAUGUGUGUCCUUUUUUUCCUUUUCCCUUUUUCAGUAUGGACUACCACUAAAAGUGGUGUCUUACAAGGAACUGUACGGAUGGACAAUGGACGAAAUAGUGAAGAUUAUUCGAUUAAAGAACAAUUGCACAUUUUGUGGUGUUUUCCGUCGCCAGGCCCUUGAUUGUGGUGCCUCAUUGCUAAAAGUAGACAAGCUAGCUACUGGGCAUAAUGUAGAUGAUAUUGCUAAAACAGUUCUUUUAAACAUAUUACGAGGUGAUAUUGCUAGGUUGAGUUGAUGCACAUUCUAUAACCAAUUCCAAGAUGCAAGCCAUUUAAGUAUACCUAUGAAAAAGAGAUUGUUAUAUAUCCUUUCCAUUGGGUUGAUGAUUUGUGCCUAAAGUUGGCAUUUGUAUAUUAAUCUGAUUUUUUACUGAUUCCUUUUAGUUGCCAAACCUUAACCAGCUGUUCACGUAUGCAUAUUUUAAGAGGCUUGACUACUCCACUGAAUGUAAUUUUCAACCCCUUUUCAUUUUUAUUUUCUAGGAGGCCACAUUUACUCACAGUUUCCUUCCUAAUCUCUCCCCAGGAAAUGGAAUUAUCAUGUUUAACAUUACAUGCUAUAUUUCU